AGAGGGCGUGAAACCGCUUUGAAGGAAACGAGAGGCGCCGCAUGUUCCAACAAGAUUCAUCUGUCAAUGCUGCUUUGUGGCAUGUCAGUGCAUUUUUUGUUGGUCUGCACCGGGAGCAGUGCUGACUAUUUCGCAGAUCGAUCAUAGGGAGGCAUAAUUGUGUGUUACUUUGUGAUCGGUACGCGUUGUUUAUCUGUACUGCUUUUGCGCACCCUGAAAAGAAUGGUGUUGGGUGAUCGUUUUCUCUUUCGCCGCUUCUGAUUACUAAUCGGUUGUGUUGGGCGAGAAUUCGUGAUCCUGCCCGCCAUGUAGGUGCUCUUCCGGUGUGAAAGUCGGCUACCCUCCCGACCCGUCUUGAAACACGGACCAAGGAGUCUAACAUGUGCGCGAGCUAUUGGGUUUUCAAACCUAUGAGCGCAAUGAAAGUAAAGGUCGGCUCGGUCGGCCAACACAUGAUCCGCUCAGAUUUCUGAUCGGAGCAAUGUGGUCCCAUCUCGGAUGCUUGUCAUCGAGGUGGCGAUAGAGUGUACAUGUUGGGACCCGAAAGAUGGUGAACUAUGCCUGAACAGGAUGAAGUCAGAGGAAACUCUGAUGGAAGUCCGAAACGGUUCUGACGUGCAAAUCGA
rnacentral:rRNA from 1 species